rnacentral:rRNA from 1 species
AUUGAACGCUGGCGGCAGGCCUAACACAUGCAAGUCGAACGAGUGGCGGACGGGUGAGUAAUGUUUGGGAAACUGCCUGAUGGAGGGGGAUAACUACUGGAAACGGUAGCUAAUACCGCAUACCAUCGGAUGUGCCCAGGUGGGAUUAGCUAGUGGGUGGGGUAAAGGCUCACCAAUGCGACGAUCGCUAGCUGGUCUGAGAGGAUGACCAGCCACACUGGAACUGAGACACGGUCCAGAGUCCGACGGGAGGCAGCAGUGGGGAAUAGUGCGCAAUGGGGGCAAGCCUGAUGCAGCCAUGCCGCGUGAAUGAAGAAGGCCUUCGGGUUGUAAAGUACUUUCGGCAGGGAGGCGUUACCCACAGAAGAAGCACCGGCUAACUCCGUGCCAGCAGCCGCGGUAAUAC